UCUAGCUUUGUCCGCAUCUGUAGAGGCUCAUGCAACUCAGGCUGUAUCUGCAUCAAUACCUCACUCUGGAGAAUGGUCAGAGGAGUGUAGUUAUUGUAAUACCUAAGAGAUGAGGGUUGUCUAUCCUUCCUUGGAGGACUUCAGGAUCGAUGGUUUUGGUCCCCAUUUUUCUACCUCUAGAAUAGAGAUCGAGAGCACUGGCCAGUUUUCUCCUCUCACUUUAGGGAGCAUUCUU
rnacentral:lncRNA from 1 species